rnacentral:rRNA from 1 species
GCGCCUGUUUAACAAAAACAUGUCCUAUUGUAUUAUUUAAUAGGUCUGGCCUGCCCAGUGAUAAUUUCAACGGCCGCGGUAUAUUGACCGUGCAAAGGUAGCAUAAUCAUUAGUCUUUUAAUAGGAGGCUGGAAUGAAAGGUUUAACGAGAAAUUGACUGUCUCAAUUACAAUCUUGAAUUUAUCUUUUGAGUCAAAAGACUUAAAUAUAAUUGGUGGACGAGAAGACCCUAUAGAGCUUGACAAUUAUUUUUUUAUAUUUACUUAGACUGAAAUUAUUUAUUUAUAUUAAAAAGAUUGUUUUGUUGGGGUGACAAUAAAUAUAUAUUUAACUUUUAUCAUAAUAUUAACAUUAAUUUAUGACUUUUGGAUCCAAAAAUUUUGAUCAUUAGAUUAAGUUACCUUAGGGAUAACAGCGUAAUCUUCCCUCAGAGUUCAUAUUUACGGGAAGGGUUGCGACCUCGAUGUUGGAUUAAGAUAAUAAUUAGGUGCAGUAGCUUAAUUAAUAGGUCUGUUCGACCUUUAAAUUCUUACAUGAUCUGAGUUCAGACCGGUUUAAGCCAGGUCGGUUUCUAUCUCCAAUUUAAUAUCAGUUAUUAGUACGAAAGGACCAUAAUUGAAAAAUAUUUUUUAUGUUUUGAAUUUUAUU